rnacentral:rRNA from 1 species
AUUUUUGAUCCAAGAACAUGGGAAGUUCUUGACAAUAGCAAAAGGGAUAUUUUAAUUGAGAAGGGACCUAUUAGAGUACCGGAUUUGGAGUUCGAUAAGGACACCAUUGGUAGACACUUUUCAUAUGCUUUUUACUCCAGGAAGUUAAGUAAUGGUGAGUUUGUUGACAGAAAGUGGUUGGUUUACCACAAAGGUGCAAACGAAGUAUAUUGUUUUUGUUGCAAGUUGUUCAAAUCAAAACUGAGCAAGUCUAUGCUGGCAUCUGAUGGAUUGAAUGACUGGAAGCGUUUGAGUGCGCGUCUCAAAGAUCAUGAGAACAGUGUUGAUCAUUUAACAAACAUGAAUACAUGGAAUGAAGUUAGGUUGGGACUAAGCAAAAAUCAGACAAUUGAUGAUGAUAUGCAAAGGGGGAUUGCAAAGGAGAAGGAGCGUUGGAGACAAGUUCUGAUAAGAAUAGUUUCAGCUGUGAAGUUUCUUGCAAAACAUACUUUGGCUUUUCGUGGAUCAAAUGAGAAGUUGUAUCAAGAUAAUAAUGGUAAUUUUUUGGGCACAAUUGAAAUGAUUGCUGAAUUUGAUCCUAUCAUCAAAGAUGCCAAGUAUUUUUCAGUUAUUCUGGAUUGUACCCCGGAUGUGAGCCAUGAAGAACAAAUGACUCUCAUUGUGCGUUGUGUCAAUAUAGGUCAAGGUUAUGACAAUGGUUCCAACAUGAAAGGACAAUACCAAGGUGUUCAGAGUCGCUUCCUUAAAGAAAACCCCAAAGCAUUGUAUAUGCCAUGUGCAUGUCAUAGUUUGAAUCUCACUCUUUGUGAUAUGGCAAAAUCUUGCAAACAGGCUAUUACAUUCUUUGGUAUUAUACAACGGAUAUACGUGUUGUUUUCACGUUCUACUAAAAGGUGGAAGAUUUUACUUGACAAUAGUCGAAUAAAGAGUGUGCAGCCUAUCAGGUACCAAACUAUCCAUGUGAUUUCAGCUUUGAAGGAAUUGGAGGAGACUUCUACUGAUGACCCAGCAGCUGUAAGUGAUGCUCAAUCUUUGGUCAGUGCACUUGAGAAUUUUGAAACUUUAGUUGGCAUGGAAAAGAUGGUGUGCAUUGAUGCUACUAUCAAACACAUUGACGGGGUCAUGUUAUAUUUUAAGAAGUAUAGAGAUGAAGGCUUUCAAGCUAGUAUUGAGAUAGCAAAAGCCAUUGCAUCUGAUAUGGACAUAGAGCCAGAAUUUCCUUCAAAACGUUAA